rnacentral:rRNA from 1 species
GACGAACGCUGGCGGCGUGCUUAACACAUGCAAGUCGAACGGAAAGGCCCCUUUGGGGGUACUCGAGUGGCGAACGGGUGCGUAACACGUGAGUAACCUGCCCUUGACUUCGGGAUAACUUCAGGAAACUGGGGCUAAUACCGGAUAGGAAUCCUUGCUGCAUGGUGGGGGUUGGAAAGCUUCGGCGGUUUUGGAUGGACUCGCGGCUUAUCAGCUUGUUGGUGGGGUAGUGGCUUACCAAGGCUUUGACGGGUAGCCGGCCUGAGAGGGCGACCGGCCACAUUGGGACUGAGAUACGGCCCAGACUCCUACGGGAGGCAGCGGUGGGGAAUAUUGCACAAUGGGCGGAAGCCUGAUGCAGCAACGCCGCGUGCGGGAUGACGGCCUUCGGGUUGUAAACCGCUUUCAGCAGGGGCGAAGCUUGUGGUGACGGUACCUGCAGAAGAAGCACCGGCUAACUACGUG